GAUGAAGAACGUAGCGAAAUGCGAUACUUGGUGUGAAUUGCAGAAUCCCGUGAACCAUCGAGUCUUUGAACGCAAGUUGCGCCCGAAGCCACUAGGCCGAGGGCACGCCUGCCUGGGCGUCACACGCCGUUGCCCCCCCAUCUACUCCUUCGGGAUUGCGGGGGGGCGGAUGAUGGCCUCCCGUGCGCCUAGCCGCGCGGUUGGCAUAAAUACCAAGUCCUCGGCGACGCACGCCACGACAAUCGGUGGUUGCGAAACCUCGGUUGCCCGCCGUGGGCGUUCGUCGCGCAUCGAGGGCUCGAAAAAAUGCUCGGCUCCGGCUGGGCUUUCAACGCGACCCCAGGUCAGGCGGGGUUACCCGCUGAAUUUAAGCAUAUCAAUAAGCGGAGGA
rnacentral:misc_RNA from 1 species